AAGGUCCCGAGCGUUAUUCGGAAUCACUGGGCGUAAAGAGUACGUAGGCGGUUUGGUAAGUCAGGUGUGAAAUCCCGGAGCUCAACUUCGGAACUGCACCCGAUACUGCCAGACUAGAGUAAUGGAGAGGCAGGUGGAAUUCUCGGUGUAGCAGUGAAAUGCGUGGAUAUCGAGAGGAAGACCAAUGGCGAAGGCAGCCUGCUGGACAUUUACUGACGCUGAGGUACGAAGGCUAGGGUAGCGAAAGGG
rnacentral:rRNA from 1 species